UACGAAGGGGGCUAGCGUUGUUCGGAAUCACUGGGCGUAAAGCGCACGUAGGCGGAUGUGUCAGUCAGGGGUGAAAUCCCGGGGCUCAACCUCGGAACUGCCCCUGAUACAGCACAUCUUGAGUCCGGAAGAGGUGGGUGGAAUUCCUAGUGUAGAGGUGAAAUUCGUAGAUAUUAGGAAGAACACCGGUGGCGAAGGCGGCCCACUGGUCCGGUACUGACGCUGAGGUGCGAAAGCGUGGGGAGCAAACAGG
rnacentral:rRNA from 1 species